UACGUAGGGUGCAAGCGUUAAUCGGAAUUACUGGGCGUAAAGGGCGCGUAGGCGGCCUGUUAAGUCGAACGUGAAAUCCCUGGGCUCAACCCAGGAACUGCGUCCGAUACUGGCAGGCUUGAAUUCGGGAGAGGGAUGCGGAAUUCCAGGUGUAGCGGUGAAAUGCGUAGAUAUCUGGAGGAACACCGGUGGCGAAGGCGGCAUCCUGGACCGGUAUUGACACUGAGGCGCGAAAGCCAGGGGAGCAAACGGG
rnacentral:rRNA from 1 species